CACUUGUAAGCACACGCAUAGAGCCCACACGGAAAAACUAAUACUACCUGGCUAUGUCACAGCAAUGGCUUCAAACGCCUUAGAUCGAUGUCGGCUAGCCCUGCUCUUUGCCAUUUUAAUGGACUUGGCCGGCGUGGUCUCCCUCCUGGUUGGCAUCUUUGCAGAUCUGCAAUUGAAUGGUCAAGAUUUUGGUGACCUGCUGAUAUACACCGGAGCAAUACUCGUGUUCAUGAGUUUAAUUGGCUGGAUCUUUUGGUACACCGGGAACAUUGAAAUAUCUCUGGAAGAACUGCAGCAGGACUAUGUCAUUAAGGAUGGCACCCUUGCCCGCCUGGCACGUAAGAUCUCGCGCCACAUUUCUAGCCGGGGUACAAAUCGCGGAAGCAGGAGGUGGAAAAUUGAGGGAUCUAGAAAACCAGACACCCUACAGCUAUCCAGAGCCAAGGGCCCAAAGCCAGAGCUGCUCUCAGGAGCUUCUGAAUCUUAACAGGUUUUGUAGAAAAGAAUCUCAGCCGCUCUGAUGAACUGCCCAGGAUCCAGCUGCUGCUGAAGCUCUUGGCUGCCAUGAUGCUCUGAAUGACUGCUUGAUGUACCCUCUUUAAGGCUGCUGAAACAUUUCAAUCUGGGGACCAUGUGUUGGUUUCACAAAUACAGAACAGAUGAAAGGCAAACCGUAAAAAUAACAAUGUUGCAUCUUUAUGAAUAUUUUUUAAGUUUAAUUUAUAGUUCCUGUUGUAGAACUUGGGAACACCCCAGCAAACACAUGUACACAACACAGAAUGCCCAUCAUUUGACUGGUCUAUUGCAGGGCUGUCCAAAGUUUUUUAGGUGCUCAGCAGAUGUCCCACAUGUACCGUUCACUUCCACCGGCUCUGAUUGUUCAGGCUUUCAAGCCAAACAAUAGAAAGGUGGUCAUACUGUCUAUGGGCCCCUUAUGUAUAAGUUUGGUAAGUAUAUGGCUGCCUUAAGCCAAACAAAAUCACCAAAAUGUUUUCAGGAUCAGAAAAUGCAAAUGCUACUUGCUCCUUUAGGUACUUUUACUAUCUCUCCACCAACAGUCAAAAAUGUUUUUAUUUCUGUAUAUUGUGUACAUAUGUAAAUAUGAUCAAAAGGAAAUAUGUGUUUCUAUUAUUUAGUUUAAAUGUUACCAUGCCACUUUAAAAAAAAAAAUCACUAUGGAUCCCAUUCUCAUGAAAGGAGGCUCCCUGCAACAAGCACAAAGCAAACUGUGGAUGAAGAAUUCAAGUGGCAUUGCCCUAAGGCAGUUUCUUAAGUCAUUUAUCAAAAGAAAAUUUGAAAAAUUGUGUUUGAUGUUGAUGAAAAAAAAUUAGCUUUUUAAGCAACAAUAAAUAUUGCAACAUGAAAAUGUG